CUAUCCAAAAAGUGCUAUAAGUUGUAAUUUUUCUCAUCUCAAUUUUUUCGAAGCUAAAUUGGAUUAGAUUAAUUUAAACUUUUAAAAUUAAAAGUUAUAUCUUCGGAAACUAUACAAAAGCUACUAUAAUUUGGAACUUUUCUCAUCUUAAUUUUUUUUAAAGCUAAAUUGGAUUAGACUAAUUCAAAAUCUUGAAAUUAAAAUUUAUAUAUUCGAAAACUAUACAAAAAAGUACUAUAAGUCGUAAUUGUUAAACAAAAAAAUAAAAAAUAAAAAUGAGAGCAGUAGCACGCUGAGAACAAAUGAAUUUCUUAUCACUGCAAAACCAUUUGUAAGGAUUUCUUUUUCCCCGAGCUUAUACAAAAUGACAGCAAAACGUAAAAAUAUCAAGGAAAAGGCAUCAUCAUUCAUUUCCAUGUUGAUCUUCAUUAUCAACCAGCACAUCUUAUGCAGACCUGAGCUCGUUGGUCAGUUUUCUUUGGUCUUAUUCGAUCCAAGAUCUUGAACAUUUCCGCUGCUGAUUAAAACGCAAGUAAGUUAAUUAACUCCAAGAUAUAACAUUUGUACUCUUAAUGGAAUUUGGAAACUGUCCACUGGGACAGGUUAAUAGUGAGUCAACAUCUCUUCUCUACUGUUUGAAACUUCGCUGAAAUAACUCAGGUAAUUCUAAUCUGGAAAGUUGAUCCUACAUACUGAAUUAGCAUGGGGGACCCGAUAAGUUGUCAGAUAUUGCAAGUAAAAUUAUUUCUAAUUGCAGACAAGUGGUCCGGACCUGAAUAAUUACAGGACGAUCGCCCAUUGUUAUCAAUUUGAUUUCUAAAGAUCCUAUGUUUUCUAUCAUGUCAUAGAAACAAUGGGGCCUGCUGAUCUUCAGGCACAAUGGCCUAGAGUCAUAAAUACUUGACAACGAGUUGGAUAACAAAACCAUGUGAUACUUCAUCUGCUAUUGUCAAUCAACAGUGAAAUCUUAAGUGUGAUUAGCUUGUUUCUCUUAUAGUUCUUAUAUUGAUGGACAUACAGUUGGUGUAUGGGGUAUGUUUUAGUCCUAAAGGAUAGUGUUCCAGACACAAAUCAUAAGGCACUAUCCAUUUCUAUGGAUUUGAUUCUGAGAGAUCGUUUGUUCCAUGCAUGAGAAAAUGGUAGGACCUAGUGUUCCCGAACUUAUAUGAGCUAAAGUAAUUAAUCUUGUCAACUAGUUGGAAGGCAUGACCAUGGGGUAAUUGAUCUGUCAUUGUCUUUAACUGAUGCCCAACUCAGAUGGCUCUUCACCACAAAUCAUUAGAUUUUAUGAGUUGGCAUUUGCUUAUAUAAACAAGUUUUGAGAAGUUGCCACCACCACGACCCUCCACAAAACUAGAGAACUACUCAAAAUUAUCCCGUGCUUUCAGAAUCUUUAGUAACUUUCUCUUCAUUGCUCAUCUUAACUAAAAGAUCAUGGCUAUCCGUGUUCCUCGUAUAAUCAAGAAGUCUUCAACAUCCCUUGAUGUUCCCAAGGGCCAUUUUGCUGUAUAUGUUGGGAGAGGCAGAGGAAGAGAUUUGUGAUUCCGGUAUCAUUCUUGAAUGGACCUUUAUUUCAAGACUUUCUCAGUCAAGCGGAAGAAGAAUUCGGCUUUGAUCAUCCAAUGGGAGGUGUCACAAUUCCCUGCCCAGAGAACAUU